rnacentral:rRNA from 1 species
GUCCACGCAGUAAACGAUGAACACUAGGUGUGCGGGGCGAAUGAGCUCUGCGUGCCACAGCGAAAGCGUUAAGUGUUCCACCUGGGGAGUACGCCGGCAACGGUGAAACUCAAAGGAAUUGACGGGGGCCCGCACAAGCGGAGGAACAUGUGGUUUAAUUCGAUGAUACGCGAGGAACCUUACCCGGGCUCAAACGGCAGAGGAAAGUUUUUGAAAGGAGGCUGCUCUUAGGAGUCUCUGCCGAGGUGCUGCAUGGUUGUCGU